GCAGGGGUCGCCCAGCCUGGCCAAAGGCGGUGGACUCAAGAUCCACUCUCGUAGGAGUUCGGGGGUUCAAAUCCCCUCCCCUGCA
rnacentral:tRNA from 1 species